GGGGAUUUAGCUCAGUGGUAGAGCGCUUGCCUAGCAAGCAGAAGGCCCUGGAUUCGGUCCCCAGCUCCG
rfam:Rattus norvegicus chromosome 11, whole genome shotgun sequence.